rnacentral:rRNA from 1 species
UACGUAGGGGGCGAGCGUUGUCCGGAAUUAUUGGGCGUAAAGAGCGUGUAGGCGGUUCGGUAAGUCUGCCGUGAAAACCUGGGGCUCAACCCUGGGCGUGCGGUGGAUACUGCCGGGCUAGAGGGUGGUAGAGGCGAGUAGAAUUCCCGGUGUAGCGGUGAAAUGCGCAGAUAUCAGGAGGAACACCAAUGGCGAAGGCAGCUCGCUGGGACGUGACUGACGCUGAGACGCGAAAGCGUGGGGAGCAAACAGG